UUAUAAACAAAUCUUUGUACUACGAUUUGAAAUUUCCGACAGCUGGUUAUCCCUCCCGCGGGUAAAAUUAAAUACAUUAAAAUUAUAUAACAAAUUGCAUCCAUUUUUUGGUUGACCAUAAAUCAAUGGCAAUGAAAUUAGCAACCCCUUUCUUUAUCUGUAUCAACAUUUUUGAAAACAUUUUCACCACUACGAGUUAACACUUGAAAAUGAUUAAAAAAAACUACAUGGUGUAUAUGUCGUCAUGGAAGGAAGACAAUAUUGAACUGCAAUAAGUGCAAUAAUAUCAAGAUAGCUGACGGUAAUAAGAUGUCUAAAAUUAAAUAGCCAAUCAAAAAUCUUUGGUGUAACAUGAGGGUGGAUAUAUAUUAUGUCAAUCAAAGUUACAAUACUUCCAUUCAAAUCAAGAGCAAUUACGACCUAGAAUUUCACAUAAUCAUAAUAUAAAACAACAUGGGUGAUGUUAAUGCCAAAAAAAUUGGUUUAGGAAUAUUAUUUGUUCUGUUUCUUCCAAUCACUGUACCGAGUUAUUUAAUCUAUUUGCUUUUAAAAACGCUUUCGGGAGAUAUAGAUAGGUAUCCGAGGAGUGUUCCGCAGGGCCGAAGAUAAUAAAAAUGACGUAUGGAUAUUGGAGAACGAGACAGGAAGACACCAAAUUUGAUCAUAAAUACCUCGACAGGAUAUUCUUUUUUUUUUCAAAAAUAAAUCACAACAAAAGUAAACAGGUGCAUGGGUGGGAUAAUUCUGAAGAAACAGCUGAUAUACUUUCAAUCAUCUAAUUUUUGUCUCGACGUGCCUUUAUCUUUGACAUUAUAACGUUUAUCAUAACUAUUUGUUUUUCAUUGAAUUUCGAAUAAUUUGCACUUUUUGUAAAGUAACAACUGUGUUUAUUGAAAUAAAAUAAAUGAUAUUUCAAACACCAUGCAACGAAACAAUAUAUCUAUGUUAAUAUAUAAAUAUUAUCUUGCUGUGCGAAACAAAAAUCAGAGUUCAAUAUAACGACCAUGUGACUCAUGUUGAUAAGAUAUGAUAUCACCUCAAAUCAACAUUUCUGUUUCUAGGUGUACAUUGCUGGCGCCCUUGAAAUUUUCAAUAUAACCCUAUUUGUUUUUACCAUACUUUAUGACAUUUUGAAGUUCAUGUGUUAUCAUCUUUUAAAUGAUUGCAAUGUCAGAUGAUUUGCGAAACGAUUGUAAAAUAUGAUAUUUUGGUAAAGACUUAUAUUUGAGCCGCGCCAUGACAAAAUAAACAUAAUGGGUUUGCGACCAGCAUGGAUCCAGACCAGCCUGCGUAUCCGCGCAGUCUGAUCAGGGUUCAUGCUGUUCGCUAUCAAUUUCUCUAUUUGUUAUAGGGUUUGUAAGCGAACAGCAUGGAUCUUAAUCAGACUGCGCGUAUGCGCAGGCUGGUCUGGAUCCAUGCUGGCAAACCCAUUAUGUUGGUUUUGUCGUGGCGAGGCUCAUUUAAGGAUAACAUCACGAAAAAAAGUUUGGUAAAAAACAUUAUGAACCUGCAACAUUUUUAAUUUUGCCGUUUUGGACAACCUUAAAUCUGCGUACUCAUGGUCAUUGAAAACACAAAGACAUUUAUACAUAUAUAUCCUGUGUACACAAGUCUGAGUUUUGGAAAGGAUUUGCAUAACAAGCCAGUGCAGUACCAGAAUGCCAUUGCAGUAGAUGUAAAUGUCACCAAAGAGCAAUGACCAGAAAGGUCUGAUUCCAUAUCAAAUAUUUAUCUUGCAAGUAAUCAUUUCUUUGUUUCAAAUUUAUUAAUAGAGACAUUGACUUUAUUAAAUGAGUAAAGAGUAAUCAUUUGAAAUUUUAAAAGUUUAAGAUUCCAAGACCCAUGAAAACAAUAAAUUAAAAUAAUAACGUAGAAA